rnacentral:rRNA from 1 species
GACGAACGCUGGCGGCGUGCUUAACACAUGCCAGUCGAACGAUGACGACCGAGCUUGCUCGGUCUGAUUAGUGGCGAACGGGUGAGUAACACGUGAGCAACCUGCCCUUCACUCUGGGAUAACCUCGGGAAAUCGGGGCUAAUACCGGAGAUGAGCUCCUGUCGCAUGGCGGGUGUUGGAAAGUUUUUCGGUUAAGGAUGGGCUCGCGUCCUAUCAGUUUGUUGGUGAGGUAGUGGCUCACCAAGGCGAUGACGGGUAGCCGGCCUGAGAGGGCGACCGGCCACACUGGGACUGAGACACGGCCCAGACUCCUACGGGAGGCAGCAGUGGAGAAUAUUGCAGAAUGGGCGAAAGCCUGAUGCAGCGACGCCGCGUGAGGGAUGACGGCCCUCGGGUUGUAAACCUCUUUCAGCAGGGAAGAAGCGAAAGUGACGGUACCUGCAGAAGAAGCGCCGGCUAACUACGUG